GUACACUCCUACGGGAGGCAGCAGUGGGGAAUAUUGGACAAUGGGCGCAAGCCUGAUCCAGCCAUGCCGCGUGAGUGAUGAAGGCCCUAGGGUUGUAAAGCUCUUUCACCGGUGAAGAUAAUGACGGUAACCGGAGAAGAAGCCCCGGCUAACUUCGUGCCAGCAGCCGCGGUAAUACGAAGGGGGCUAGCGUUGUUCGGAUUUACUGGGCGUAAAGCGCACGUAGGCGGACUAUUAAGUCAGGGGUGAAAUCCCGGGGCUCAACCCCGGAACUGCCUUUGAUACUGGUAGUCUUGAGUUCGAGAGAGGUGAGUGGAAUUCCGAGUGUAGAGGUGAAAUUCGUAGAUAUUCGGAGGAACACCAGUGGCGAAGGCGGCUCACUGGCUCGAUACUGACGCUGAGGUGCGAAAGCGUGGGGAGCAAACAGGAUUAGAUACCCCUGUAGUCCC
rnacentral:rRNA from 1 species